ACCUUGCCCUGUUGCUGACUUCUCGGUUUGAGUAUUAGGUGACCUGAACUAGGCUGUGUUUAAUUGCCUGCUUUACAGGAAACCACCAUCCUAACUGCUCCUCUCUCUUCAACCAACACCCAAAGCCACUGCCAAUGUCUAGGGGAUGAGACUUCACAAGGUUUCCAAAUCCUCGGUUCGUGGAACCCCACGCAGGUAGGAGCUGCAGGACGGCAUCCUACAAUCUAACUUAAAAAAUUAAAAAAAAAAUGAACCUAAGUGUAGUUAAAACUUGGACCUUGCCCAGGAAGACUAUACUUCAAAGGUCAGCAUUUUAAAACUGGUUUCCUCUGCAAUAGCAAAGUGUUGCAAACAUUAGGAACAAGGCAAGACUUCAGCAUAGUUCUUUGAUUUUGGUCAUACAUUUUACUUUAAUUUACUUUAAGCUGUACAGGAAGUUAACAUGAGAUGAAUGCUGAGCUCCUGGCUUCAGACCAAGCAAGUUUGUACUUUGUGAAAUUCCACUCUCAAAUGUCAUUUCCCCCAGCUUUUCUACACUGGCCCACAACUGACAACCCCAAGUUGAUGUACUCUAUGAAAAGUGCCCCGCAAAUAAACUUGUUACAAACUGGAA